AUUUGCAUCUUUCAACUGCACAGGCAGCCAAGUUUUCUGAAAAUACCAUCUUUCCAGGGGUGAAAUAUCCCUUUAACACAGUUCUCUUUUAUUUUCAAACAACCAUCACAUAGAAAACAUGGUUUGCAAAACAACAGAUUUCAGACGAGUCUUCUGUUCACAAUAUUCUCAAUCGUGUUCCCAAUGAAGAGAAAUCUAUUUCUGCUGUACGUAUAAAGCUGCAAAACCUUUGACUCUAUAAUCAGUAUGAAGUCACGUGAAAAGAUAAAGGAAGGCCAACUCAUCACUACAGUUAGCUGCAACAAGGGAUGUUGCCUGCCAGACCGAGAGACACUGACUCUGCAGCCUCACAUCAGAAGAGCAGGUUUGGAGCCUGAGAUAUUAGGACUACUCUGAGCUACAAUCCUGAUGAAGCAGCAUCAGGACGCGUCAGGAUGACCGCUGUGACCUGAGAGCUCCAAUCCUCUGCCCGAGGAAAUACUGGCUAAAUCUAAGCUUAAGACGUACUUUUAUCGCACCACCUUCCCUGAUUUCAUCUGAUUCUAGUUUUUGUUAGGUGUGGCUUAGUGGAAGGGCGGGUCGUCCACCAAGUGUAAGGUUGGCAGUUCGAUCCCGGCUUCCCCCAGCCCACAUGUCGAAGUUUCCUAGGACAAUAUACUGCGCAGCUCCUGAGGACUUUGGAGUGUGAGUGAUUAUUUUGAUGAGCAGUUCUGCCAUCAGUGUGUGAAUGUGAUAUGUAGUUGAAGCGCUUUGAGCAGUCAGAAAGGCCGUAAGUACAGUCCAUUUAUCGUGGUUCGUUGAAUAUU